GCCUCGGUAGCGCAGUAGGCAGCGCGUCAGUCUCAUAAUUUGAAGGUCGUGAGUUCGAACCUCACCCGGGGCA
rnacentral:tRNA from 1 species